rnacentral:lncRNA from 1 species
CUAAUGCAUUUGAAUGUUGUUCAGUUAGAAAGCCUAAAAUAAGAUACUUAAUAAAAAGCAUGUUCACCUGACAACCAUAUAUUGUUUCUCCUAGCCUUUACCUGUGAGGAGGUUUGAUACCAUUUAGAACAAGUGAUCUUAAAGGUACCUCUAUCAGUAGAAAUCAACAGUUUACAAACCGUUUUUUUGCUGUUUCUCUCAGCUUCACAGACCAUUGUUUUGUUUUGUUUCUGGUACUAGAGAGAUUUAUUGAAGAAAAUGGCAAAGAACCAAAAUUUUGCAUAUGUUAAAAAAUAAUGCAAUGGAAAGAAGAACUCCCAUAUUCCAAUUCUCAUACCUCAUAUGAACUGAGUAAUAAGCAAAAUAUUUCACUUUUUUUCUUUGCACAUGUUUUUUCUCUCUCCCCCCUCUCUCUCCCCCCUCUCUCUCAACAGCUCCUAACACAUCACUCUACUGUAGUUUGUGCUGUAUUUUAGAUAAGUUAGAUAAGUUUCUAGAUUAAAUGUUACAGCCUGGAGUGUGGAAAUGUGCCUAGUUACUAUUAUGUUGCAUGUAUGAUAUGUUCUCUGUUUUUAGGCACUAUAAGGCUAUCAUCAGUCACUUCAGAGUAUUCUUUUCAGCAAUCCAUGCCUUACUAGAAAAUUAAUGAUAAGGAUGAUCAUCCCAAGAUGAAUAUCAUUACAGGUCACCACAUAGAUAGCUCUCUUUGGAAAUGCAAAGAUUUAUUGGGGGCUAAAAAACAUUAGAUAACUGAAUGCUUGCAAAAAAUAAUUUUUAUAUUCACAACAGAUUAAUAGGUAAAACCACUGACACUUUCAUAUACAUGCUGCUUUUUAAAAAUUUGGUGCUUAUUCAUUUAGUUAUAAUUGGCAUAAAACAUUGUGUAAGUUUAAGGUGUACAACGUGUUGGUUGGUUUGAGUAUUUAUGUAUUGCAAUAUGAUUACCACCAUCUUGGUGCUAAUUUUUAGAUAAACAAGAUAGAUCUGAUUAUUUAGGUGACUGGAGUGAAUUUAUGUAUAUUUAUUUACAUAUGUAAAUAUGUGUGUAUGCAUUUAAGCCAUGAUAAAGAUAAGCCUGAAGCUGGUCAUCUUUACUGUUCUUGUGCUUUCAGAUAACUCUUCAUUAGCAAUUAUAAAUUUAAAUACAUUUCAGGUUCACUCUGGCACUUUAUUUAUAUAAGCAGGUAUAAGACAGCAGAAACUAUGACAAUGGCAGUGAAUGAGUAGAGAAUACCCAAGGGUGUUAAAAUUCGAACACUUAAAACUCAUUAUGCUGGCUAAAUAAUAUAAUUAAGAGUUGCCAUAUAUUCUACUCUAUAAUAGUUUUUCCCUUUUAACUUUUCUGUGGUUCCUAUUUUCCUUUUACAGUGUUAGUAGCUCUAAAAUAAUAUGUAUUCAUAUCUUAUAUUUGUAUGGUAUUUAGUGUUAAAACCUCUUAGUGUUAUACAGAACUGUUCAGACUGAUAAAAAGGAAAACAGGCCAAUUUUAAUAAGAAUAUUAACUCUGACUAUAUUGACUCCAUUUAGUGAACUGGAAAUUAACUAAAUAAGAAGCCAGCUUCCAUUUUCUUUACACCUCUAAACGUAACAUCAAACUUUAAUAAAUGUGGGCUCAGAUAGUAAGAGAAUUAAAUGCAAGGCCCUAAGGGCAGAGGUUUCUAGGAAUGUGCUCAUAAUAGAGUUUCACCUGGGAUUCAAUUAAAUAUUUAGUGAGAGUGGCUGAAAGGCGCUGAAAGCUGUGGGGGAGACGGAGAUGAAUACGGCACAGUUUUUGUCCUCUAGAAUGUCAUGCUCAAUGGUAGCUAACACAUUUCACAUAGAGGAGGGGUGUAGGUGGUGGUGGGGGAGCGCCCUCCUCUUUUUCCUCUAGCACCUUCAAAACUAUUUAUAUUUGCACCAUUCCAUCACCCUUUUCCCAUUUCAUAGGAUGAAGUAUCCUUUUUCCUGUUCAAGGCCAAUACCUCUGCAUGUGCCCUUGAUCCCAUCUUCUCCCUCUCUCUUCUUAGAAAUUGUACUAUAAAUCAGCGGUCAACAAGUUUUUUUUUUUUCCUUCCUGAAAUAGACUAGAUAGUAAAUAUUUUAGGCUUUUGCAAGACAUAUGGUAGUUGUCACAACUACUCAACUCUGUUGUUACCAUGCAAAAGCAGCUGUAGACAGUAUGUAAACAAAUUGACAUGUUCCAAGAAAACUUAAAUGUAUGGACACUGAAAUUUGAAUUUUGUAAAAUUGUUAUGAGUCAUAAAAUGUUUUUAUUUUUUUAUUUUUUCAAUCAUUAAAAAUGUAAAGCCAUUCUGUGAGGUUAUUCAGAAAGAAGUAGUGGGUCAAAUUUGGAUCUCAUAGUUUGUUAACCUUUGCUAUGAAUAACUGCCAUUCCUCCAUAUCUUCAAUCUGUCCUUCUCUUCUUCUUUCCCCUUAGCCUAUAAUCACAUUAAGGAGCAUAUUAAAAAUAUUUAGCAAUGACUCUGGACACUGACUAAUGACUGUGGAUUCUGACCAAUCAGAAUAGAUAAAUCUGCCUAUCAGGUCUGGCACAAGCCAUAAGCAACGAGGGAAUAAUUUUGGUGUGUAUAGGAUAAAUAUCAGCCCAGAACAUACCUUCUCAUCUCAUUUGAAAACAAAGCACUUUUUGCACUACCAUCUUGAUAUUGCUUCACUUCUCUCUUUAUACCCAAUAUUUUUGAAAAUUAUUCUAAUUUGUUAUCUCUCAUCUAUUCUUUAAUAAGUUAUCUGCUUCCACCUUUCCCUUAAAACUGAUCUUUCCAGAAGAAACUUCCCCCCUUUUAAUGUUUUCAUCCCUUUUUAAGUGUUUUAUUUCUGUCCCUUGCAUUAAAUUCCCCUAGCUGUAUUCUACUUUUCCAACUUUUGAUUCUUGGUUGCCAUGGAAGGGUCCUCCAUCUAGCCCUCUUCUCCGCAACCAUUCCCACCUGGUGUUGCCCAGUGUUCUCCACCCACUGCUUCCUGUUCCCUGCUCUUUUUAUUCAUUCUUAGGGUUUGAUUUUUAUGAUUUUUAUUUUUUCCAUUAUAGUUUGGUAUUAUGGUUUAUAGUGUUCUGUCAAUUUCUACUGUACAGCAAAGUGACCCAGUCAUACACGUAUAUACAUUCUUUUUCUAACAUUAUCCUCCAUAAUGUUCCAUCACAAGUGACUAGACGUAGUUCCUUGUGCUAUAUAGCAGGAUCUCAUUUCUUAGCCACUCCAGAUGCAACAGUUUGCAUCUAUUAACCCCAGACUCCAAGUCCAUCCCACUCCCUCCCUUUCCCCUUGGCAACCACAAUUCCACUCUUCAAGUCUGUGAGUUUGUGCCGUGUAUUUGUGCUGUAUAUAGAUUCCAGAUAUAAAUGAUAUCAUAUGGUAUUUGCCCUUCUCUUUCUGAGUUACUUCACUUAGUAUGAGAGUCUCUAGUUCCACCCAUGUUGCUGCAAAUGGCAUUAUUCUGUUCUUUUUUAUGACUGAAUAGUAUUACAUUGUGUAUAUAUACCACACCUUCUUAAUCCAUUCAUCUCUCAAUGGACAUUAAGGUUGUUUUCAUAUCUCGGCUAUUGUGAAUAGUGUUGCAAUGAACAUAGGGGAGCACGUAUCUUUUUCAAGGAAAGUUUCAUCUGGAUAUAUGCCCAGGAGUGGGAUUGCUGGGUCAUAUGGUACACUUUUAUGCAAAUGACCUCUAUGCCUGCAUCUCUGGCCUUGACCUCUCUUUAGAUUUCAUACUUAUCUCACCACUUGACUUUCCCUCAGGGCAUCUCAAAAUCACUGUCAGACAAUGACUCUGUAGUGAUUCCCACCAGACAUGCUUCUCUAUCACAUUCCAUAUCUUAGUCCAACACCACCACCUCUGUUGCUGAAGCCAAGAAACUUGGAGUCAUUCUCAAUGCUUUCCUGCCCUAAUUCCAUUUUUUCAAGCACUGACUUUUCCACCAAAUGUUUCUUAGUUAUUCCCCUUUAGUGGCAUCCUUACCACUACUGUUUUUUCCCAGGCCUUUUCACUGAGCUGGACCACUGCACUAGUCUAGUCUUCAGUCUCCCUCUUUACCUGCCACAGAGUGGGCAAUCUCAAACACAAAUGGAAACCCCUUGCUCAACUCCUGAGUGAAUCACUAUCAGGACACUUACCAUGGUCCCAAAACCCUCCACCAUAUGGACUCUGCUUCUUGCCUCAAUCUUUUCUUCUGUCAAAUCCUAUAUACAGGGAGUUCCCAUUGUGGCUCAGCAGAAAUGACUCUGACUAGUAUCCAUGAGGAUGUGGGUUCGAUCCCUGGCUCCGUUCAGUGGGUUAAGGAUCCAGCACUGCCAUGAACUGUGGUAUAGAUCAUAGAUGUGGCUCAGAUCUCACAUUGUUGUGGCUGUGGCUGUGGCAUGGGCUGGCAGAUACAGCUCUGAUUUGACCCCUAGCCUGGGAACUUCCAUAUGCCACGAAGCAGCCCUAAAAAAAAAUUUGUCCCACUAAUAGGGCACUGAACAUGAAAUGCAACCAUAUACCUUCAUAUCUUUGCAUAUGCUAGUCCUAUCAUCUAAAAUAUCUCUUCUCUUCUGUGGCUCUUCCUGCUCAUCUAUUAAGAUUCAGCCUCUGAAUUCAUGAAAGUGCUCUAAAAGCCUUCCCUCACUGUUACCAUUAUGUUUUCCAAUUUGAAUCCCAGCUUCACCACUAAUGAGUAAGUAAGGUAUGGUUAGUCAUUGCCACUCCAGCUUCUACUCCAGUAACUGGUAAACAGGUCUAGGUGAAGAAUACUUGGUAAGCCAUGUAGGGUACUUGGCAAGGCACAGGAUUCAGAGUGCCUGGAUUCCAUUCCUAGCAGCACAGCUUACUUGCUCUAUGGUUUUGGGCUUAUACUUUCUUUCUUGUAUUCUUUUUAUGGUUAUACCUGUGGCAUAUGGAAGUACCUGGGCCAGGGGACAAAUCAGAGCUGCAGCUGGGUCCUACGCCACAGCUGGGGCAAUAUCAGAUUAGAGCCGCAUCUGCGACAAAUGCUGCAACUUGUGGCAAUGCUGGGUCGUUAACUCACUGAGUGAGGCCAGGGAUUGAACCCACAUCCUAACAGAGACAAUGUCAGGUUCUUAAUCCACUGACCCACAGUGGGAAUUCCUGGACUUUUACUUUCUAAGCCUCAUAUUUAAAAUGGAAACUCCAUUCAUGAAAAAAAAUUUUAUCGGACAUGGACUAAGUUUCAGACAUUUUUCUAGGCACAGAAAAAUUCUCACUCUCAAGGAAAUUUCAUUCUAGUGGGCAUAAAGGAGAAGGGGAGGAAGAAAAUAAAUAUGUAACUAGAAAACAGCUAAAUGAAACAUGCUGUAUAUCAUCUAGUGGUAAGUGCACAGGGGAUAAGAAGUAAGGUGCUGGGAUAGAGAAGGAGGAGGUUUGCAAAUUUUAGAUAGAGUGAUUAGGGAAAGCCUCACUGAAAGGUGAUAUUUUAACAAAGACCUGAAGGAGGUGAGGAAGCCAUGAGAGUAUCUUCAGUGAAGAGGAUUCCAGAAAAAAAGAAAUAGCAAAUGCAAAGGAUCUGCCCAUUCCAGGAAUAACAAGGAGGUGAGAAUGUUGGAAAAGAGUGAGCAAGAGAAGGAGAGAGGAGAUGAGGUGUGAGAAGAGCAGCAGACAGUGCUAUCAUUUGUAGUCCUUGUAAGGACUUUGGCUUUGACUCUGAGUGAAACAGUCGCUGGAGGGUCUUGAGCAGAAAAGUGAAUAAUCUGAAUAAGAUUAGAGAUGACUCUGGUUGCUGUGUGAAAAUACCCUGUGGGAGAAUAAGGGUAGAAAGAAGGGCCAGUUAGGAGGCUACUAAAUAACCCGGACGAGAAAUGAUAGAGAACUGAAUCAGGUUAAGGUGAUAAGACAUGGUUUAUUCUGAAUAUAUUUGGGAGCAGAGUCAAAAGAGACUUGCUGUAUGUCAGAUGAGAGAAAAGAGAGGAGGCAACCUUGACUCUAGGGAUUCUCAUUGGGCAAUUACAAGGAGGACGCUAGGGCUUUAUGCUGGGAAAACCUGCAAAAGUUUUCCAAGAGAUGAUUAAGAAUAGGACUCUAGCUUAGGUCAAAUUAACUUUGAGAUGUCUAUUACAUAUUUAAGUGAUGUCAAAUAGGUAGUUCUGUAUCUAUACAUAUUAGCUGAAAUUUAUGGAAGGAUUUUAAGCUAAAGAUAAACAUUCUCCAGUGAACAAAUAAUACAUAAAACCGCUAUCUAGAUGGUAGAGAAGAGAGGCAGUCUGAGGACUAAGUCCUGUGAACCCCAGUGUUUAGUGACUGGGG